AUUGAACGCUGGCGGAAUGCUUUACACAUGCAAGUCGAACGGCAGCACGGGGGCAACCCUGGUGGCGAGUGGCGAACGGGUGAGUAAUACAUCGGAACGUGCCCGGUCGUGGGGGAUAACGUAGCGAAAGUUACGCUAAUACCGCAUACGAUCUGAGGAUGAAAGCGGGGGACCUUCGGACCUCGCGCGAUCGGAGCGGCCGAUGUCAGAUUAGGUAGUUGGUGGGGUAAAGGCCUACCAAGCCGACGAUCUGUAGCUGGUCUGAGAGGACGACCAGCCACACUGGGACUGAGACACGGCCCAGACUCCUACGGGAGGCAGCAGUGGGGAAUUUUGGACAAUGGGCGCAAGCCUGAUCCAGCCAUUCCGCGUGCAGGACGAAGGCCUUCGGGUUGUAAACUGCUUUUGUAUGGAACGAAAAGGCUCUGGCUAAUACCUGGGGCUCAUGACGGUACCGUAAGAAUAAGCACCGGCUAACUACGU
rnacentral:rRNA from 1 species